UACGUAGGGGGCUAGCGUUGUCCGGAAUCAUUGGGCGUAAAGAGCGUGUAGGCGGCCAGGUAGGUCUGCUGUGAAAACUCGAGGCUCAACCUCGAGACGUCGGCGGAAACCAUCUGGCUAGAGUCCGGAAGAGGAGAGUGGAAUUCCUGGUGUAGCGGUGAAAUGCGCAGAUAUCGGGAGGAACACCAGUGGCGAAGGCGGCACUCUGGGCCGGAACUGACGCUGAGGAGCGAAAGCGUGGGGAGCGAACAGG
rnacentral:rRNA from 1 species